rnacentral:misc_RNA from 1 species
AGCUCCAGUCUCCUGUGUGGCAGGCAUGGUCUUUAUGUUAUUGUAUUAAUAUAUGAAUUCUCCCUCUCUUUCUCCUCUUUCAAAUGCGCAAAUUUAAUUACCUCUUUCCUACUAGUUAGAAAUUUUGUUUUUGGCAUACUGUUGCACUAUGUUUGGGUAUCAUAUAUUAGUAUUCUUGUUUGUUGGGGGGAAAAAGAGGAAAAUAAGUUACCAACUACUUUUGUUACGUUUGUGUUGUGGAUAUUGCCUUAAAUUUUCAUGGCAAUUAUUGUUUUCCAGGUUCGCAUGAAAGCUGUGUGU